rnacentral:rRNA from 1 species
GACGAACGCUGGCGGCGUGCCUAAUACGUGCAAGUAGAACGCACAGUUUAUACCGUAGCUUGCUACACCAUAAACUGUGAGUUGCGAACGGGUGAGUAACGCGUAGGUAACCUGCCUGGUAGCGGGGGAUAACUAUUGGAAACGAUAGCUAAUACCGCAUAAUAUUGAUUAUUGCAUGAUAAUUGAUUGAAAGAUGCUAUUGCAUCACUACCAGAUGGACCUGCGUUGUAUUAGCUAGUAGGUGAGGUAACGGCUCACCUAGGCGACGAUACAUAGCCGACCUGAGAGGGUGAUCGGCCACACUGGGACUGAGACACGGCCCAGACUCCUACGGGAGGCAGCAGUAGGGAAUCUUCGGCAAUGGACGAAAGUCUGACCGAGCAACGCCGCGUGAGUGAAGAAGGUUUUCGGAUCGUAAAGCUCUGUUGUAAGAGAAGAACGGGUGUGAGAGUGGAAAGUUCACACUGUGACGGUAUCUUACCAGAAAGGGACGGCUAACUACGUG